rnacentral:rRNA from 1 species
GAUGAACGCUGGCGGCGUGCUUAACACAUGCAAGUCGAACGAUGAAGCCGGUGCUUGCACCGGUGGAUUAGUGGCGAACGGGUGAGUAUCACGUGAGUAACCUGCCCUUGACUCUGGGAUAAGCCUGGGAAACUGGGUCUAAUACCGGAUAGGACUCAUCAUCGCAUGGUGGUGGGUGGAAAGCUUGAUGCGGUUUUGGAUGGACUCGCGGCCUAUUAGCUGGACGGGGGGGUAAUGGCUCACCGUGGCUUUGACGGGUAGCUGGCCGGAGGGUGUGACCGGCCACUCUGGGACUGAGACACGGCCCAGACGCCUACGGGAGGCAGCAGGGGGGAAUAUUGCACAAUGGGCGCAAGCCUGAUGCAGCGACGCCGCGUGCGGGAUGACGGCCUUCGGGUUGUAAACCGCUUUCAGCAGGGAAGAAACUUUUGUGACGGUACCUGCAGAAGAAGCGCCGGCUAACUACGUGCCAGCCGCCGCGGUAACAC